AACCCUCUGCCCUGAUUGAAAGACUGAACACUAAAUUUGCCACUUAGUAUCUUGUGUAACAAAGAAGGUGCGCAUAUGCUGGUGUCUGCUGAACCUUGCAGUCCUCAGGAUGCCAGCACUGCCUUCUUUUAAAAUUAUUUGACCAGAGCUUAGAUUAACAAUUAUAGCAAAAGGAAAUAAAUGGUUGAGGUGUCUACUCUGCAGUAUAAGAGACUGUGGCUGCACUUUCUUCUCAGGCAUUCCUCCUUUUUAUGCCUUUCCUAGUGAAUUGUUUUUCUACCUAUCAAAUAAGAUACAUUUAGAAUACAAGAAGAAGAUUCACAGAGAACUGGACAAGGUGUUUGAAGGAGUAAUCAGCAGUCAGAAGUACAGAUUUGUGACUCAGGAGCACAAAUAGCCACUUCCUCUAAUUAUUGGUGCAAUUAAGGCAACAAGCUGCAAGACUUUUUGUAAAUAUGAGAGUAUAAUUAUUCAGCUGAUCUCCAUGUUAAAAAUACAAAAGGUGAGUCUCUUUGUCUCUGUGUACUUGCUUCCUUCCUAGGUUGUCACCUGAACAAAAGAUGGGACUGAUGAUUGUCUAACUUGCUUAUAUGUUUGCAAGACUGGGUAUAUAUCUGCUGCUUUCUGUCACAAGCCAUUGCAAAUAACAGCAAGAAUUGGAAAGUUCAUUUCUAGCUGUUUACUGUGCAGAAAGAUAUAACAGUCAGCAUUUAUGAUAAAGUUUCUGCUGGGAGAUUGCAAGAACAAAGUGCCAAAAUUUACACCCCUCUGAUGCC
rnacentral:lncRNA from 1 species